AAGAACAAAUGUAGGACUCAGCU
rnacentral:piRNA from 1 species